AUUGAUCACUUGGAACUGCGUUUUAAUUAAAAAUUAACUUGUUAAUCACUCCAAUACACGUGUCCGUGGCGGGAAUUCAAUUAAAAAUAAUUUCAUGCGCCGUCUUGAAUGCAAGACACCCACGUCACCAGAAGAACUAAGGAUUCGUCGCCAACCGCCCAGGAAUAGAAAUAGGUAAAAGCAGGGUGGUGUUUUAUCCUGCAAAUAUAGGUACUCACUUACGUAAAUGUGGGGAAGUAUUAAGAUAUAAUAUAACAUGGUUUAGAACGAAAAUCACCUAAUGUUAUGUAAGUAGGUACAUAAUAUUAGACUGCUCUUGGGCUAGCCGAGGUCUGUGCCCCGGGCGACGAAUACAGAGGGCGGCAAAUUCAAACUUGGUAGACGAAUACAUAACUUAUCAUUAAUGCAACUUUGACUACGGAGACAUACAGUGCAUUCAACACUAAAAGUAUUUCCCGCGGAGCGCAAAAUGAUGUUGAAGAUGACAAAGGUGAAAAUAUUGGUGGGUGGGGGCGGCAUUUUCCAGAUUUUGCCCCACCUCGAAAAAAUUCAAGAUCCGGUGCUGCUGGCUUACCCCCCCUAGACCCGGGGCUGGAGGCUUGCUAAUCUUAUACUUUUAACUAUAUUUAUUUCCGAUCCCAUGAUCGGUUUUAGAUCGAAAGUUCCCAAGAUUUUGUCAGCAGAGGUUUUUUAUAAUAAAACGUACUUAGAAAGAAUUUUUGUAAUAAGCCGUGUAAGUUUAAGAAUUUUUAUGCCGGAUAGCUUUAGGCAGGUACGAUGAGAUAGGUACCUAAUAAGCCGGCGAGGCUUGAUGGCCUCUUCUCUGAUCAAUAAGGUGAUCCUCACCACGCAUAAACUGUGCUCUACCCUUAGAGCUCUAUCGUUAUGAUGAGGAAUGUAAUCGUGAUUGGAUGAAAGUUAAAUGAGUCUCUAAAAUAUCGAUACCGGAAAUUUCAAUUGUCGUAAGGGACAAACCAUCACUUUUCAGGAGAGCCAAAAAACAUAUUUUUUUGUCUUAAAUUCGUUGUAACUUUUUCAUUUGUAAUCGGAUUUUAAAGGUGUCUAGGGACCACUGAUCUAUUUUUUUGUGCUCUUUCUAUUAGCUUUAUCCAAAUUAACGUAGGUCCACUAUUUUCAAAGAUAGAUGUCCCUUACAUCCCACCAAAAAUGAAUAAAACGCCUAUACACCCUUAGCUUAGUAAGGUUGCAUAGGUUGUAAAGGACAUUUCUACACAAAUUAAACGAGCGUUUUAGGUAAUAAAUGUCACAUUACCUCAAUGUGAAGGGUAAUAGAAGGUCCAAACUUAUAAAAUUUUAAGAAAUAAAACCCUUACUACAUU